UGAGUAACACGUAUCCAACCUGCCGUCUACUCUUGGACAGCCUUCUGAAAGGAAGAUUAAUACAAGAUGGCAUCAUGAGUCCGCAUGUUCACAUGAUUAAAGGUAUUCCGGUAGACGAUGGGGAUGCGUUCCAUUAGAUAGUAGGCGGGGUAACGGCCCACCUAGUCUACGAUGGAUAGGGGUUCUGAGAGGAAGGUCCCCCACAUUGGAACUGAGACACGGUCCAA
rnacentral:rRNA from 1 species